rnacentral:lncRNA from 1 species
AAAAAUAAUUUUACGAGAGAAGCCAAGUCUUGAGUUAAUUGUCGGAUCAAGAUCACAACUAAAGAACGACUCAUGUAUAACUUUAUUUCUUUGCUUGAUCAUGAUCUUUGUUCGUCUUGUGCUUGAACCUCGUUAUGUGUCAAUUGCGCGCUUGUGCUUGGACCUCGUCAUAUGUCAAUUGCGCGUCGUUUGUCAUUUUUAAAAACCUACAAAUAUGAACACACGUUUAGUUUAGUGCCUUGAGAACG